GAUGGGUAGUUGCCAUAGCAACAGAGGAACACCAGGGGGUGAGAUGAAUUCCUUACUUGGUUGUGGCCACUACUCUUACAUUUCUCACUUCCCCAAUAUUCCCAUUUUCCACCUCUCUGCCUUGACUUGAUUUCUUCCUAAUGAAAUGCCCCUGGGAUGAAGUAAGGUCCAGUUCUAAAUUGCUGAGAAGGAAAAAGAGGGAAAUAUUUAGGACCUACAAUGAACAAGAUAGGUGCCUUGCAUAUGUGGAUUUUGCAGCUGUUUUUUUCUGGAAAGCAACAAAGACAAAAGACAGUCAGCCUUCUCCUAAAGAAGUGACACCAGUCUUACUGCCAUAACACCCACCCCAGCUCAUUCCAUUAUGAGCCCUGCUCCUGGGGCUCUCCUCUUCUGCAGCAAAACCAUUUCCCCUGGUGAGAUUGAUCAGUUUGGCUUAACUUGUUCCUUAUCUCCCUGACUCUUUUGCCACACUGCAGUGCUGAGGACGACGGGAAGGGAAUCUGUGGGAUCUGUACAAGGAGACAGCCAGGAAGCCACAGCCACUGCCUGUAAAAUAAAUUGCAUUUAAUCACUGCAAUUCAAAUCUCA